CGCGUCACAUUCGCAUUCCCGCUUCUUUGCGCAGAACACGCAAAUUAUUAACAUCUAAAUUAAACCACCUUUUUACCUCCGCUGUCGCUUCAUACCAGCUUUCUUUAAUAUUGUGAAGUGCUCGCCUUCCGUUCGCCGCUGAAUACCCAUCGAGAAAACCUACCGCUGGAGAGUACGAGGACUUUGAGAACAUCAGAUACACGUCUACGUAAACAUGAAUCAGUGAAACAAUACAUUCGGUUCAGUUUGGAUCGAGCAAUUAGCGCUAGACACACAAACGGAUUCAACUCGGAUCGCUUCAGUUAAUCCGUCUGAAAUAACAAACCAUAUCUGAGUGAAUGUCUCCCUAAAUGAUUAAAACGGGCCCGGACGAUCGACUAAGACAACAGUGAGAAACUGUGAACUUCUAACUCGUAAAUGAAUAUCGAGUUUCUGAAUGUUUUUCUCAAUGAAUAAGUACAAAUAAUUCCGCUGCCGGCCUCAAAACGUGAGAUUAAAAUCUAGGCUAACGGCAGAAAUAGCUUUGAAGUCAUUCGUAAACCAAGUAAUUAUUUAAUUAGAAAAAUUGUUCUUGCCUGCGGAUUCGAAUACCGGCACAGUUGCAUCGCUUGAUACAAAUGCAUAUCCAGUAGACCAAGAUGACUUCAAUAUACCAUACAAUAUAUCAUUCCAUGAAAAUCUAAUAGAUUGUAUUUUAAAUAACAGCUAUUACAAUGCACAGGUACAGAGAUGUUGUUCGUAGGGUUGCAGCAAGUGAAGUGAGUGAGGUGGCAGUAUUGCUACGUGACCGCAUGUUGCAGAUUUAGUUGAUUGAUGCAACUCAUAGAGUACGACUAAUCAACUUUAUGAUACUAGAAGAACUGUGCAGACUGUUCAACGUAUAAUUAACGAAAAUUGGCCACACUGAUUUGAAAUCGCAAACCUAAAUAUUCGAAGGGUUAAACUGAACUAAAUUCAAUUCGCCCCAUUUGGAAAUCCACCCCUAAGAGCUCUACACUUCAGAUACAAGUGUCGAUCGAAUCUCAUAACCGUGUUCCGAGGAAAAAAAAACAUGAAACAGUUAUUUCGAAAAA